UACAGAGGGUGCAAGCGUUGUUCGGAAUUAUUGGGCGUAAAGCGCGUGUAGGCGGCUUGUUAAGUCUGUCGUGAAAGCCCCGGGCUCAACCUGGGAAUGGCGAUGGAUACUGGCGGGCUAGAGUGCGGUAGAGGAGAGUGGAAUUCCCGGUGUAGCAGUGAAAUGCGUAGAGAUCGGGAGGAACAUCAGUUGCGAAGGCGGCUCUCUGGACCAGCACUGACACUGAGGCACGAAAGCGUGGGGAGCAAACAGG
rnacentral:rRNA from 1 species